rnacentral:rRNA from 1 species
UACGGGGGGGGCAAGCGUUGCUCGGAAUUACUGGGCGUAAAGCGCACGUAGGCGGCUCUUUAAGUCGGGGGUGAAAUCCUGGAGCUCAACUCCAGAACUGCCUUCGAUACUGAAGAGCUUGAGUCCGGGAGAGGUGAGUGGAACUGCGAGUGUAGAGGUGAAAUUCGUAGAUAUUCGCAAGAACACCAGUGGCGAAGGCGGCUCACUGGCCCGGUACUGACGCUGAGGUGCGAAAGCGUGGGGAGCAAACAGG